rnacentral:lncRNA from 1 species
ACCGGUCCCCUUCUUCCCCACUAUAAAUCUUCUAAAAUUUUUUUGAUUAAUUUAUUUUCUAUAUUCUAGCAUGAGCCUUUUAUCUAAUUUCAAAAAUAAUUUUUUUAGUUGCACAAUAAUUGGAUUCUAUAGGAAUUUGAUGUUGGAUCACAAUGCAGUGAGCAAUAUCACACAGUUAGUUAUCAUAAAUUGAUAUUGAGUAUUGUUAUUGAUUUUGUUCAAGCUAUCGUUCAAUUCAUAAGACUAAUAUGGCAA